AUGGGUUUCAUGAAUCACCAUAUCCAGAGAUUCGUCGACACAGCUUGUUGCCAGAUAAUCUUCAUACCAUAUAACUGGAAUUACCGAUGCAAGUCGAAGAAGGAUUGGCCGGUGCUGCCGGCUGGCGUCAAGUUCGAUCCCACGGAUCAGGAGCUGAUCGAGCACCUUGAGGCCAAAGUGAGUGCUGACAGCGCGAGAUUUCAGUCUCUCAUCGAUUUGUUCAUACCAACCAUCGACAGCGAGCACGGCAUAUGCUACACCCAACCUGAGAAACUACCAAACGCAGACCUGGUGAAGCAAUUACAAUUUGACAGUUAUAAAAACUAUCACACUGAGUGGCCUAAGGAAGCAUUUCUUCCAGCGCAAUUCCAGGGCGUUCAAAAGGGGCACGUGGACGCGUCGCAAGAUACAAUUGGAGUGCGGCAUGCACGCGAUGUGGCACAAGACCGGCAAUACCUUGCCGGUGAUGGUCAACGGCCGGCAAGACGGGCAGCAAAAAAGGUUCUGGUGCUGCACACCAACAAGAACUUCGACCAGCAGAGGACCAACUGGGUGAUGCACCAGUACCACCUCGGGGACCUGGAGCAAGAGAAGGAGCGGGAGCUGGUCCUCUGGAAGAUUUUCUACCAGCCGAACACUAGGGCCAGGAGUAAAAAGAUUAUAAGUUAG
rnacentral:rRNA from 1 species